CAAACAAUUUAAUAUUCAACUCGUAUAAUAUUGGGAAUAUGGCCCGAAAGUUUCUACCAAGCUACCGUAAAUGGCUUGACUACGAGUGAUGGAAUGACAUUU
rnacentral:ncRNA from 2 species